rnacentral:rRNA from 1 species
CCUACGGGCGGCAGCAGUGGGGAAUAUUGCACAAUGGGCGCAAGCCUGAUGCAGCCAUGCCGCGUGUAUGAAGAAGGCCUUCGGGUUGUAAAGUACUUUCAGCGAGGAGGAAGGCAUUAAGGUUAAUAACCUUAGUGAUUGACGUUACUCGCAGAAGAAGCACCGGCUAACUCCGUGCCAGCAGCCGCGGUAAUACGGAGGGUGCAAGCGUUAAUCGGAAUUACUGGGCGUAAAGCGCACGCAGGCGGUCUGUUAAGUCAGAUGUGAAAUCCCCGGGCUCAACCUGGGAACUGCAUUUGAAACUGGCAGGCUUGAGUCUUGUAGAGGGGGGUAGAAUUCCAGGUGUAGCGGUGAAAUGCGUAGAGAUCUGGAGGAAUACCGGUGGCGAAGGCGGCCCCCUGACAAAGACUGACGCUCGGGUGCGAAAGCGUGGGGAGCAAACAGGAUUAGAUACCCCGGUAGUC